rnacentral:rRNA from 1 species
GCUCAACCGAGGAAGUGCUUCGAAAACUGGUAAACUUGAGUGCAGAAGAGGAAAGUGGAACUCCAUGUGUAGCGGUGGAAUGCGUAGAUAUAUGGAAGAACACCAGUGGCGAAGGCGGCUUUCUGGUCUGUAACUGACGCUGAGAUUCGAAAGCAUGGGUAGCAAACAGGAUUAGAUACCCUGGUAGUCCACACCGUAAACGAUGAGUGCUAAGUGUUGGAGGGUUUCCGCCCUUCAGUGCUGCAGCUAACGCAUUAAGCACUCCGCCUGGGGAGUACGAUCGCAAGAUUGAAACUCAAAGGAAUUGACGGGGGCCCGCACAAGCGGUGGAGCAUGUGGUUUAAUUCGAAGCAACGCGAAGAACCUUACCAGGUCUUGACAUACCAUGAAAAGCUAAGAGAUUAGUCUUUCCCUUCGGGGACAUGGAUACAGGUGGUGCAUGGUUGUCGUCAGCUCGUGUCGUGAGAUGUUGGGUUAAGUCCCGCAACGAGCGCAACCCUUAUUAUCAGUUGCCAGCAUUCAGUUGGGCACUCUGGUGAGACUGCCGGUGACAAACCGGAGGAAGGUGGGGACGACGUCAAAUCAUCAUGCCCCUUAUGACCUGGGCUACACACGUGCUACAAUGGUCGGUACAACG